rnacentral:rRNA from 1 species
AUGAACGCUGGCGGCGUGCCUAAUACAUGCAAGUCGAGCGAACAGAUGAGGAGCUUGCUCCUCUGACGUUAGCGGCGGACGGGUGAGUAACACGUGGAUAACCUACCUAUAAGACUGGGAUAACUUCGGGAAACCGGAGCUAAUACCGGAUAAUAUAUUGAACCGCAUGGUUCAAUAGUGAAAGACGGUUUUGCUGUCACUUAUAGAUGGAUCCGCGCCGCAUUAGCUAGUUGGUAAGGUAACGGCUUACCAAGGCAACGAUGCGUAGCCGACCUGAGAGGGUGAUCGGCCACACUGGAACUGAGACACGGUCCAGACUCCUACGGGAGGCAGCAGUAGGGAAUCUUCCGCAAUGGGCGAAAGCCUGACGGAGCAACGCCGCGUGAGUGAUGAAGGUCUUCGGAUCGUAAAACUCUGUUACUAGGGAAGAACAAAUGUGUAAGUAACUAUGCACGUCUUGACGGUACCUAAUCAGAAAGCCACGGCUAACUACGUG